UACGGGGGGCGCAAGCGUUGUUCGGAUUCAUUGGGCGUAAAGGGUGCGUAGGCGGCGCGGUAAGUCGGGUGUGAAAUCUCGGAGCUUAACUCCGAAACUGCAUUCGAUACUGCCGUGCUUGAGGACUGGAGAGGAGACUGGAAUUUACGGUGUAGCGGUGAAAUGCGUAGAUAUCGUAAGGAAGACCAGUGGCGAAGGCGGGUCUCUGGACAGUAACUGACGCUGAGGCACGAAGGUCAGGGGAGCAAACGGG
rnacentral:rRNA from 1 species